rnacentral:rRNA from 1 species
GACGAACCGUCCAAACGUUAUUCGGAAUCACUGGGCUUACAGAGUUCGUAGGCGGUCUGGAAAGUUGGGUGUGAAAUCCCUCGGCUCAACCGAGGAACUGCGCUUGAAACUACCAGACUCGAGGGAGAUAGAGGAAAGCGGAACUGAUGGUGGAGCGGUGAAAUGCGUUGAUAUCAUCAGGAACACCGGUGGCGAAGGCGGCUUUCUGGGU